AAGAAUAAAUACAAAAAUAAAUAUAUUAAUUAAAAAUAAAUGUCAAUCAAUAAAUAAAAGCGCUUUUCCUUGUAUUUACUUAUUUCUUUGUCAGCACCCACAUGCAAGUAGAAAUGUAAUUCAAAUGAGAAGGCGUUCCUACAUGUGUUGAACUAUUCACCCAUUAGUAGGGAUGGGAAUCGAAAUCCGAUUCCAAUUCGGAACCGGUUCCGAGUGUUUCGAGGCCUCGACAUCACAAUGAAAAAGCCUUAACGAUACCUUUAACAAUUCCUAAAGACGCGUAUUGCGUCGUGACAUGUGUUGUUGUCCAGACGCGUCAAACUAGCAUGGCGCCAAGAACCACUCACCUCCGUGAAGUUGGCCCCCCAUCAGACGCAAAUUUAUAUAAAAAUUAUGUCAAUCGUUUGUGCUAUGAUUGUGCUGGUUUGUGCUGCAAAAAGUUUCGUUUGUGCCAUCAUCGUUUUGCAGUUAUUAAACAUUGUUUUUUAGGUCAUCCAGAGUUCACCCAGCCCCCCAUCUGUGGCGGAAUGGAACCCCGGUGGUGUCAUUUGAUUCUGCCUCGUUAGUGCUGGAUUGUGCUGAAAAAAGUUUUGUUUGAACUGCUACGGUUUUCGAGAUAUUCAUAAAAAUGUAUAGUGAUGACGUCACGCGCAGCCCCCCAUCAGACGCAAAUUUAUAUAAAAAUUAUGUCAAUCGUUUGUGCUAUGAUUGUGCUGGUUUGUGCUGCAAAAAGUUUCGUUUGUGCCAUCAUCGUUUUGCAGUUAUUAAACAUUGUUUUUUAGGUCAUCCAGAGUUCACCCAGCCCCCCAUCUGUGGCGGAAUGGAACCCCGGUGGUGUCAUUUGAUUCUGCCUCGUUAGUGCUGGAUUGUGCUGAAAAAAGUUUUGUUUGAACUGCUACGGUUUUCGAGAUAUUCAUAAAAAUGUAUAGUGAUGACGUCACGCGCAGCCCCCCAUCAGACGCAAAUUUAUAUAAAAAUUAUGUCAAUCGUUUGUGCUAUGAUUGUGCUGGUUUGUGCUGCAAAAAGUUUCGUUUGUGCCAUCAUCGUUUUGCAGUUAUUAAACAUUGUUUUUUAGGUCAUCCAGAGUUCACCCAGCCCCCCAUCUGUGGCGGAAUGGAACCCCGGUGGUGUCAUUUGAUUCUGCCUCGUUAGUGCUGGAUUGUGCUGAAAAAAGUUUUGUUUGAACUGCUACGGUUUUCGAGAUAUUCAUAAAAAUGUAUAGUGAUGACGUCACGCGCAGCCCCCCAUCUGCGGCGGAAUGGAACGGCGAUGAUGCCAUUUUUUUCUUCGUCGUUAGUGCUGGUUUGUGCUGAAAAAAGUUUUGUUUGAACUGCUACGGUUUUCGAGAUAUUCAUAAAAAUGUAUAGUGAUGACGUCACGCGCAGCCCCCCAUCUGCGGCGGAAUGGAACGGCGAUGAUGCCAUUUUUUUCUUCGUCGUUAGUGCUGGUUUGUGCUGAAAAAAGUUUUGUUUGAACUGCCACGGUUUUUGAGAUAUUCAUAAUAACGUGUAGUGAUGACGUCACGCGCAGCCCCCCAUCUGCGGCGGAAUGGAACGGCGAUGAUGCCAUUUCUUUCUUCGUCGUUAGUGCUGGAUUAUGCUGCAAAAAGUUUCGUUUGUGCCAUCAUCCUUUUGCAGUUAUUAAACAUUGUUUUUUUUUUUUGUAAUGAAGACGGUGCUCAACUUUUUUUUUCGGUCAUCAAGAGUUCAAUUGACCCACCCCCUCCACUCCUACUUUACCCGGAAAUGUUAUCUUUCAUUUGUCCCGUUAAAAACUAUAAUUUUUGGUUUGCACUGCUUCGUUUUAAUAGAUAUUGGUGUCGCAACCACAAACAAAUGUUUUCUUAAUCGAUAUACAUUUUUUAUGCUGUAGUGGUCACGUCACCAACACAUACUCCUGACGCAGCCUUCAUUUGUUUUGGUGCCGUCGCAUAAGGUUUGUCUCGUCCAACUACACACAGUCAAUUGCUUUUGUUGUUUUUUUUUUCAUCACAGGUUUAUAACCUGGAAUUGACUAUAGGUUUUUUUGUUUUCUUAAAAAAAAAAUUCUGCCCAUUUGACAUUCUCAAUAGUCAGGAUAUGCCACUGUUUUGGGGCGAGCUUGCUGCAAAUCGUAACAUUCGGUGAGUACAGUCAGAUUCGUCACAAAAAGAACAUUCUAAUUCCUCCAAAAAUUAAUGCAUGUGCAAUUAAACUGCGGUCACCGCAGUAUUAAAUUGAUGAGUGCCUGUAGAAGAAACUUAAAGAACCAUAUGCAUCGCAACAGUUAAAAGGAAACUUGAAAUAAUAACUUUUAUUUAACAUUUAACAAUUAGUUUUGUUAAAAAAUAUAUAUAUAUAUAUCAAACUAUAUACAUUUUAACAAUUGAACAAUCAACUAUAUACACCAGAUCAAUGUCAAUAUCAAACAUUCACUGCUUAAAACAUAAACUGUAUACACUGUAACAAUUAAACAAUCAACUAUAUACACCAGAUCAAUGUCAAGAUCAAACAUUCACUGCUUAAAACAUAUCAAACUAUAUACACUUUAACAAUUAAACAACUAUAUACACCAGAUCAAUGUCAAUAUUAAACAUUCACUGCUUAAAACAUAAACUAUAUACACUGUAACAAUUAAACAAUCAACUAUAUACACCAGAUCAAUGUCAAUAUCAAACAGUCACUGCUUAGUAUAAAACAAAGCAUGUGGGGUGACCUUUAUGUUAUCUGACUUUGCUUUCACUCCACUUCCAAGGUCAUCGUACAUCUCCCAUGAACAUGCAGCCCUCCUGCAGAAUGCCACAUAAUGUCCAAGAGAAUCCUGGGUCAAGCCUCUUUGAAAUGCUAUGACUGCUCUCAAAGUAAAGGUGUUCUCUUGCAGCACCAGACUGGAGGGAAAUUCCAGCAAGGCAACUUCUGCAGUACUGCUGCCAAAGUCGGUGUCAAUCCACACAAAUGCUCCCAUACUGUAGCUGUGGCAAACAUUCCCUGAACAUAGACCCGCUUCUGUAAUUUUGCCUUGUUUUUCAAAUGCAGAUGUGCAUUGAGAUGUUUUUGGGAUUGACCUGAGGCAGGUGGAGUCGGGAAGGCUGAGUCCUGCUUCAACAGCUGCCUGAAGAUGAGCCAUGCCACAGGAAAACACUUGGAAGAUUUUUCAUGGCUCUUCCAAUCAGAGUGGAAAUGUGGCAAUUUGCAUCUACUUGGAGAGCACCGGAGGUCAGGUGGACAGAUUUGAAGAUUUCUCUCAAUAGUUCUGCUCUCUAUGGAUCCACAUGGAGCCAUUCAGAACAUGGCGAGAGAUAGGAACUCAGCUUCCUUUUUUUGGGUGGAACCACGAGACCUCUCCAAUUUUCAACCUCAUUCUCAUCCAUCUUUUUGUGGGCAGCAGCGUCAGACUCAUUACUGGGAUGACGAGAAAUGAAGCGGUCAACACGAAGAGGCAGGCUCUCGUGCUUGAAAAGCCCAUUUUUUAUGAGGUUGAACUCUGCUUCAACAGCAGCGGAACUUGCAGUGAUGCUGGUGCUUUGGAAGAGAGGGACCAUUAUUCCUGUCCAAAGUGCCUUGGCAAGUGACCUGCUCUCUUCACAUAUUUCUGUCACCCACUGUCUGGCAUCUGUAUGGAUCUGAUGACUAUGCGCAUCCAGUGGUUCUUGUCCCACAACCUCUUCAACUUGGGAGCUGACAAGUUCUUCAGCAAUUUGAGAUUUCAGGCAGUCCCACCGGCAGAUCAUCUUGAUGCAGUGUGCAACAUCUACCCUGACAAAACAUGGGGGCAGCUUUGCAGGUUGAUUGCCAAGCAAUACUUUAAAGCAUUCAUUGAUGUGCUCCAGCAUGAAUCCAUUCCUUUAGCCAUUGUGUGAUCGCACAAACAUCAUGCUUCUCUGACAGCAUCUGCACCACUGGUACACUCGAGCUGUCAUGCCCUGUCAUAACACCUUGAUAAAGGAAGAUGUGGCCAGAAGAGCCAUUCGGUCUCACCAAUUUUUUAACUACUGAGCCAGUAGCAUCAAAACAUACUGUUGGGGUGGCCAAAUUUGGUAGAUGACUCGGCUCAGGAUCUCCAAAGUUCAUCAGUUUCUCUGCCUGUGAUGCCCGCCAUACAUGCGGUUCCAUCCUGCCCUCCACAAGUUCUGUGGCAAUCUGGGAACGCAACUGCCCAGACAUGAACCGCUUUGAGUUGCCAGUGUGCAGGGAGUCAUCACUGUUCUUAAUGUAACAGUUGAGCAUCAUUGGACUGUUGAUUUUGGGCUCUCUGUCACAAUUGAGGUUGAGAAGACCAUGACACUCCUUGCAGUAUCCUCUGAUGUCAAUAUAAUUAUUUGUUGCCAAAGGAUACACCUUAGCUCUUUUAAAAAUAAAGGUGCAAGGACUUUUUACUGCUUUCCAGAUUUGUUCAUUUAUAAUGUGGGUCCAGGUGCCAGGCUUCAAAAUUGUAUAUUUUCUUUUUUGGGUUUGACAGUACUUAUUUCUGUAUACAGCCUCUUCUGGAAUAAAUUUCCUCCACUCAUCAAAAGGCACUUGAAGCUGAAAUGACCUUUCAGGGUAAAGGUCAUCCAAUUCAGAGCUUGUGUCGUCAUCACUUGUUUGAGGAUCAGUUUCAUGAUGACUGAAUCCCAAAGCUGACAAGAUGUUGUGUCUGUCUGUUUUAACAAAGGUGUAAAGAGACUUUGCCGACAUUUUCCCGCCCAGCUCCUUACUAAGUUCCAUCCAAACAGUGGCAUUUGGAGUGGCUAUGUUGCCAGUUUGAAGUAUGGCCUCCUUGAAUGAGCAGAGAACUGCAAAAACUGAGUCCCUGUCUACUGCUGGUUGUUUGGGCAUCUAGUUUAAGGACAAAAGAAAAUAAUUAGGAUUCAUUGCUUCAGUUAUAUUGGCCUUUACCACCAAUUAUAAUGUGCUAUGUGCUAUACUUCUAAACACUUGUUACACUUGAUGAAUGUAACUAUUAAAAUGCAAAAUGAAGAUUAAUAUGGGUCGGCUGCAUUCAUAAAUUAAUAGCAGUAGACCAUGCUCUGCACAUAUAUACUUCUUAUAAAUGUAUAUUUCUUGACUUAUUUGACUUAG